CCCAACAAAGGGUGGAGUGCCAUCUCCGGUGGGGAUUGAAUACCUCCCCACCUGACCGCGGGUGCCACAGCCCCCGGUCUCGCCUGUCCCUUUUAGUCGCCUCUUACGACAAGCAGGGAUUACUGUGUGCGUAUUCUGUUCCCCGACCCACAGGGAAAACCGUAACCGUACCGUAAAGUGUGCUUAUGGAAAUGGAGAUUUCCAGACAAAGCAGGUCAACUAUUCCUUAACUAUGAAUAGUCAUAGUUCUGUGGGAAGAAUGUCAAGUCGACCAAUUUAUUGUCUAUGUCGGACACCUUCUGAUCGAGCGACAAUAAUUUCUGACCGAGAGUCUCGGGUGAUGGAUCUCUUCGAGCAUGGUGAAUCGCUUGAUCCGUCGGCGUCGGGGAUGUUUCGUCCAACGAAUGCGACUGGGAAUCUGUGCAAAGCAAAGAAAAGGAACAAAGGAAAGGUAACGAGUAGCAAUUUUCGAGUAACGCAACCAACCGAUCGCGCUUACCUUGCGAACAAAUGUGUCUGUUCGUUUGACUUUGAUCGGCGGUAUCGUCGUUGUCGCUGAGAGCUUCCUCCGGACAAUACGGUUCGGCACCGCUAUCUUU